rnacentral:rRNA from 1 species
GAUGAACGCUGGCGGCGUGCUUAACACAUGCAAGUCGAACGGAAAGGCCAUGCUCUUGUGGGGUGCUCGAGUGGCGAACGGGUGAGUAACACGCGAGUAACCCGCCCUUGACUUUGGGAUAACUUUAGGAAACUGGGGCUAAUACCGGAUAGGAGCUCUUGCAGCAUGGUGGGGGUUGGAAAGUUUCGGCGGUUCGGGAUGGAUUGGCGGCUUAUCGGCUUGUUUGUGGGGUAGUGGCGUACCAAGGCUUUGAAGGGUAGCCGGCCUGAGAGGGUGACCAGCGACAAUGGGACUGCGAGACGGCCCAGACGGCUACGGGCGGCAGCAGUCGGGAAUAUUGCAGAGUGGGCGGGAGCCUGAUGUAGCAACGCCGCGUGCGGGAUGCCCUCCUUCGGGUUGAAAACAGCUUUCGCCUGUGAUGAAGCGUGAUUGACGGUACUGGGUAAAGAAGCACCGGCUAACUACGUG